CUUAAACAAUAUUGAUAAUUAGAAUAAUUUUUAUUUCUUUUUUAUAUUUGCAGCAAUUUUCUUUCGUAUUUUGUUUUCAAUUGUAGUUUUUGAAACAAAAUUAUCCUUUUGACUUCAAUAACAUAAAACCUCUUAAUUAAAUUAUCACCGAAAGAUUAUGAAGCUAUAAUUAUGAAGUGGAUGUCGAAGAAAAAAUUGCCCUUGAGUUUUUUCGAUGGCGAAAAAAUUUUGGUCAUAUAUUAAAUCCCAAAAUCAGUGUACCCGACGUUAUUGCGCUCUGCGAAUGGUGAUGGAACAUUUUUACAAGCAACGAGUGAGAGUCAAGAAAAUUUUGAACAAUAACUGUUCUAAAUUUUCAUUCUCUGACAAUGGUUGGACUUUGAUGAUCUUCAGAUCAUAUUUCGGCAUAACUACUUACUUCAUCAAUGAUAAUUGGCAGCUACAAGCUUUAGAUUUAAUUCCUAAAAAUUCCACAAAAGUGGUCGACAUAGUGGAAAAGUUAUCGCGGAAGUAUUUUUAAAUGCAUAAACGAAUAUGGGUUAGAGAAUAAGAUUCAAGGAAUAACCUGAUAAUGUUGAUAAUGCAACGGCAAACUUUACAUUUAUGUGUGAAUUAAAUAUUUUUGAAGUGA